rnacentral:rRNA from 1 species
GCUUGGAAGCAGCCAUUCAUUUAAAGAGUGCGUAACAGCUCACUAGUCGAGGAGUCUGGCGUGGAUAAUAAUCGGGUAUUAAGUUGUCUACCGAAGCAGUGGGAUCAUUGAAAUGAUCGGUAGGGGAGCAUUCCAGUCAGCGUCGAAGGCGUACCGCGAGGUAUUCUGGAGCGUCUGGAAAAGCAAAUGUAGGUAUAAGUAACGAUAAAGGGGGCGGGAAACCCCCUCGCCGAAAGACUAAGGUUUCCUGAUCAACGCUAAUCGGAUCAGGGUAAGUCGGGUCCUAAGGCUCAGCCGAAGGGCGAUGCCGAUGGCAGAAACGGUUAAUAUUCCGUUACUACCUCCAGGAGUGAUGUGGAGACGCAGUAGUGACAAUGCCGCCAUCUGACGGAAUAGAUGGUUGAAGGGUGUAGAUGUUGAUCUUGGCAGGCAAAUCCACCAUGAGAAUCGAACCUGAUAGUAUGCCGCGUCCCUCGGGACAAGGCAAUAGUGCAUGUAAUCAUGCUGCCAAGAAAAUCCGCUAAACUAAAUCCUGUAGGUACCCGUACCGUAAACGGACACACGUAGUCGGGAUGAAUAUUCUAAGGCGCUUGAGUGAUUCACGGUUAAGGAACUAGGCAAACUGACCCUGUAACUUCGGGAUAAAGGGUCCCUACCCGGUGACGGGAGGGCGCAGAGAAUAGGUCCAGGCAACUGUUUAACAAAAACACAGGGCUGUGCUAAAUCGAAAGAUCCUGUAUACAGCCUGACACCUGCCCGGUGCUGGAAGGUUAAGAGGAGACGUCAUCGUUGAGAGAAGCGUUGAAUUGAAGCCCCAGUAAACGGCGGCCGUAACUAUAACGGUCCUAAGGUAGCGAAAUUCCUUGUCGGGUAAGUUCCGACCUGCACGAAUGGUGUAAUGAUCUGGACGCUGUCUCAACCGUGAGCUCAGUGAAAUUGUAGUAUCGGUGAAGAUGCCGAUUACCCGCGAUGGGACGAAAAGACCCCGUGAACCUUUACUAUAGCUUAUCAUUGAAUCUGGGCACGUGAUGUGUAGGAUAGGUCGGAGGCUUUGAAGGGGGUACGCCAGUAUCCUUGGAGCCGCUGUUGAAAUACGACCCUUCAUUUGUUUGGAUUCUAACCCGUGUAUAUGGGGACACUGAUUGGUGGGUAGUUUGACUGGGGUGGUCGCCUCCAAAAGCGUAACGGAGGCUUCUA